rnacentral:lncRNA from 1 species
CUUCUGUAGCCUGGUGACCACUGCCACCUUCUGCCCUCAGCAAGAGCCUAGGUGUGGAUACAGGAAAAAUUAAGUUAUCAUCCUAAGACAAUGAGUAUGGUGAGAUAUCAUGCAUGUGAUUAUGUUAGGUCACAAAGCAAAAGGGAUUCUUGUGAGAGGUAAUUAAGGUUACAAAUUAAAUAAACUUGAGUAAUCAAAAGGGAUAUCCAAGUGAGCCCAAGCUGAUUACAUGAGACUUUUAAAAGCAGUAGAGUUUUGUCCAGUUGGAAGCAUAAGAAAUCCGAGACAUUGAAAGAAUAAGGACAUGGUGUGCCACCGAUGCAUUGAAGUUGGUGGGGCGAUGCCAGAAGGAAUAUGAGCAGCCUCUGAGAGAAGAAGCCAGCCUUUCUUUAGCAGUCAUCAAGGAAAUGAAGACCUCAGGCCUGCAUCCACAAGGAACUACAUUCUGAAAACAGCCUGGAUAAUCGUGGAAAAGGAUUCUUCCCCAGAACCUCCAGUACCAGCCAUAAACUCGUCUCAGUUUGGCUUUACAUUACUUCGUUUCCUGCAGCUGGCAUUGGCUGAGAAUAGGGAAGCCUUCAUGAAGAAAGCAGCAUGGCAUCUGGCCUUUGAAGGAUGGACAGAAUUUGGUCAUAUGAAAAUUGGUGUGAAGGGAGGGAAGAACAUUUCUUACAGAAGUGGCCCGGCCAGUUUAAAAGGCCAUGAUCUGAGCGGAAACCAUCAGACAGUCAAUCUGAGCCUAACAAGACUGGCCCCAAAACAGGUGAGUAGAUGGGCCUAAGUUGAAGCUUUUUAAAUUUUUUUUUUUUUUUUUUUUUUUUGAGACAGAGUCUUGCUGUCACCCAAGCUGGAUUGCAGUGGAAUAAUCUCAGCUCACUGCAGCCUCCGCCUCCCAGGCCCAAAUGAUUCUGCCCCCUCAGCUUCCUGGGUAGGUGGGAUUACAGGCGCACACCACCACACCCAACUAAGUUUUACAUUUUUAGUAGAAACGAGGUUUCACCAUGUUGGCCAGGCUGGUCUCAAACUCCUGAUGUCAAGUGAUUUGCCUGCCUUGGCCUCCCAAAGUUCUGGGAUUACAGGUGUGAGCCACUGUGCCCAGCCUGAAGUUUAUUUUCAUUAGGUGAGAGGCCAAGGAAGAAAAGGACUCACAAGUGUGAAGAAAUUCACUUCUCUUAUUCUGUCUUCAGCCCAGUGUGUGACUGUAUACACUAUAGCUCUUCCAAGGUCUACUGAAUACCACUAAGGUACCCAAGGAAAACUUUCUCCUCCCUGCCAAACUCCCCACACCAUUUUCCACUAAUAGAAAAUUUCUAACAGUGAUAAUACAGGGUAUCUCCUGAGAAGCAGCCUCGCUUGCUAAAAUUCCAAAUACAGAAUUCUUCUAGAACCCAAUCAAAAAGUCGUAGUCAGCACCUGACCUGCAGAAAAGAAAGCCGUCAAUGCCUAAGCACAUGUAUACAGGUCUCUCACAGGUAAAGGUUCAGAGACACUGCUUCAACAAUAACUUUAUUAUGUAGACACAGGCCAGAGAGAGAACUCUGGGAGGCUGAAGAGAGAAAAGUGAAUCAGCUAAGUUCUUGACAGAAUUGUGGGGAAAAGCCAAAGCUUCUCCAGUUGAAUUUCAUGGUAACUUUGUUGACCAAAGACUAACUUGCUCUGGGAGGCAGCAGCUAAGACUAUCUUUUCAGUGCCUUUAAUCAGAGGGAUAGAUAUGCUCUCCACUGUAUAGAGAACUAAGAUGGGGUCUGCUGGACGUGGUGGCUCAUGCCUUUAAUCCCAGCCCUUAGGGAGGCAGAAGCAGGUGGAACAUGAGGUCAGGAGUUCAACACUAGCCUGGUCAACAUGGCAAAACCUCAUCUCUACUAAAAAACGACAAAAAUUACCUGGGUGUGGUGGUAGACGCCUGUAAUCCCAGCUACUUUGGAGGCUGAGGCAGGAGAAUUGUUUGAACGCAUGAGGCAGAGGUUGCAGGGAGUCCAGAUCAUGCCACUGCACUCCAGCCUGUGCGACAAGAGUGAAACUCUGCCUCAAAAAUGAAAAAAUUAACAAAAGAGAGAGAGAGGGAAAACCAAGAGGGAACUGGCUAUCUCCAGACAAAAGUCAUGCACAGCUUCCUACUGGCCUCCUGUCACAAGGUCAGGUUUAUUGACUAUCUCAGUCUUUGUUCCACGUGAUUUAUCUUGCAUAGGUUCUCAAAAGCCUACAAACACCUCCCCUAAUAGAGUGUGUUUGUUAAGAGUUAUAUACCAGCUCUCAGCAGUGUCUUCCAGCCAAUCAAUAUGCUGAGAGACUCUGUGAAAUAGACGAUAGCCAUCAAAGCGUGUCCAAUUUAUUUAGGUUUUCACUUUUCCAACUGUUAAAGGUCAGAUACUAUAUUUAUCACAAUCAAAUAUACAUGGAUAUUGAAAAGAUAUCUUUGCAAGCACAUUUUUUUGCAAUGGGGUAGGGUGUGGAAGGGUUUCCUUCUGGUUUCUGAAAAGUUCAC